GCGGCCGUAGUCUAGCCUGGUCUAGGACGUCAGCCUGCCACGCUGAGGACCCGGGUUCAAAUCCCGGCGGCCGCACCA
rnacentral:tRNA from 1 species